UACGUAGGGUGCGAGCGUUGUCCGGAAUUACUGGGCGUAAAGAGCUCGUAGGUGGUUUGUCGCGUUGUCCGUGAAAACUCACAACUCAAUUGUGGGCGUGCGGGCGAUACGGGCAGGCUCGAGUUCGGUAGGGGAGACUGGAAUUCCUGGUGUAGCGGUGAAAUGCGCAGAUAUCAGGAGGAACACCGGUGGCGAAGGCGGUGAUCUGGGCCGACACUGACGCUGUAGAGCGAAAGCGUGGGGAGCGAACAGG
rnacentral:rRNA from 1 species